UACGGGGGGGGCAAGCGUUGUUCGGAAUUACUGGGCGUAAAGGGCUCGUAGGCGGCCAACUAAGUCAGACGUGAAAUCCCUCGGCUUAACCGGGGAACUGCGUCUGAUACUGGAUGGCUUGAGUUUGGGAGAGGGAUGCGGAAUUCCAGGUGUAGCGGUGAAAUGCGUAGAUAUCUGGAGGAACACCGGUGGCGAAGGCGGCAUCCUGGACCAUUACUGACGCUGAGGCGCGAAAGCUAGGGGAGCAAACGGA
rnacentral:rRNA from 1 species